AAAAGGAAAAAAAAACAAACUAUUGCAUUACGAGUCAUCAAGUGCUCAGGGAAGGGAGAGGGAACAACCUGCAGGUGGCGACGAGGAGCGCAGAGAUCCAGCGAGGGCGCCGCCGUGUGGCCCGGUGCGGGGUGUCGAGUGCGGCUCCGCGCAGCCUGGCGUGGGGCGCCGCCUUGCGGCAUGGAGCGCGGUGGCGAGAUCAGCUCCGUGCGGCAUGCAACGAGCAGCCGGGUCGUCGAGCGUGGCUCCUCGCGGCCUGGAGCGGGGCGUCUAGCAUGGCUCCGCAAGGCCUGGCGAGGGCCACCGUCGACUGUCGUAUGACCUAGAGCGAGGCGUCAAGCAUGGCUCUACGUGGCUUGGUGAGGGGCGGCUCAAAUCCUGCUAUCCUGGGUCCAGCGGUGGCCACCCUCGGUGAGAAGAUUCGGCAGUGUGACGGUGGGGAACCUAGCAGCGGGACAUGAAGAGGCGCGGGACAGGGAGGGAGGGGAGGGGAGAGGAGAGGAUGAUGUAGUAUGAUUUUUUGCGGGAAAAAAAAACAAAGCCAGAGGGAAUCGAACCGUGGCCGAUGGCGCUUGCGUGGGGAGCUUGAGGCGGAGGGAGGGGAGGGACGAGGGGGUUAGGUGGGUGAGAAGCCUAU
rnacentral:lncRNA from 1 species